UACAGAGGGUGCAAGCGUUAAUCGGAAUUACUGGGCGUAAAGCGUGCGUAGACGGUUACGUAAGUCGGGUGUGAAAGCCCCGGGCUCAACCUGGGAAUUGCAUUCGAGACUGCAUAGCUAGGGUGCGGAAGAGGGAAGCGGAAUUUCCGGUGUAGCGGUGAAAUGCGUAGAUAUCGGAAGGAACACCAGUGGCGAAAGCGGCUUCCUGGUCCAGCACCGACGUCAGGCACGAAAGCGGUGGGGAGCAAAACAGG
rnacentral:rRNA from 1 species